rnacentral:rRNA from 1 species
AACGAACGCUGGCGGCGUGGAUUAGGCAUGCAAGUCGAACGCGAAAGAGGGGGCAACCCCUCAAGUAGAGUGGCGAACGGGUGAGUAACGCGUGAAGAACCUGCCUUCAACAGGGGGAUAACACUCCCAACGGGGUGCUGAUACCGCAUGAGACCACGGAUCUGCAUGGAUCUGAGGUCAAAGGUGGUCUCUGCUUGCAAGCUACCGGUUGAAGAUGGCUUCGCGUCCCAUUAGCUAGUUGGCGGUGUAACGGACCACCAAGGCGACGAUGGGUAGCUGGUCUGAGAGGAUGGUCAGCCACACUGGGACUGAGAUACGGCCCAGACUCCUACGGGAGGCAGCAGUCGAGAGGCUUUGGCAAUGGGGAAACCCUGACCAAGCGACGCCGCGUGGAGGAUGAAGGCCCUUGGGUU